CGGGCCUAUCUCUUCUCUCGCAGUCGGGGGCCGUGAACGCGCAGGCUUGGCAGUCAGAUACCGUCAUCCUUAGGCGCUUGAGGAACUUUGCAUGAUAGAGCCUGGCUGUAUGUGCUGGAACUAGACAAUGCACAAUGGGUUUGAACCUAAAGAUGUUUCAUAACUUCUACAGUUUGGUGCUAGCGCAAACAUACUCCAGAAUGGGAAGAUAAUAGCAGUGGGAAAUCAUUUAGGAGGGUUUAUAGACUUGGUGAGUGAUCGCGUCAAGUUGGUGGUGAUCUACCGAACGCUGGAUCCAAAGGCAAGAGACGCUCUCGAUCAAACUGUGGAUAUAAACGUGGCAAGGUGGUUAAUAGACAUGGAGACUCGCUGUAGUGAAACACCUUUAUAACGAGGUUGUUAUACACAGGUAAUCGUGAAUUGUUAUAACGAGGUAACCACUUUGUGCCUUGGAGUAUCAGGAACCUUGUUUACAGACUGCCUUGCUUCAUUCUGCUCCUGUUGGACUUACAUAAUACGCCAGUGUGGGAAACAGCUGUGCGGGGGAGAUAGUGCUGCGGACAGCGUUCACCGUUACAGAAACGUGGCCGCGAGAUGAAGAAAGUUGGAUUUAAAGAGUAAACCAGUGCAGUUUUACUACGAUAAACAUUCCCAAGCGGAAGAAACGCGACGCCAAAUAUUCUUUGAAAUUUCACCCAGGGAAUCAUUUUUUUGUGUUUGGAAGUUUUCUGAUGGAUUCUUUGAAAUUGUGGAUUCUGUUAAGUCCGUUUCGUUGUGCCCAUAUUUACAAGUCAUGGUCAUUAACCGGUGCCAGUUCAGCUUGUGAAAUUGUUCAAUCAGUGACAGCAUCAAGAUAGCAGAUAAAAUAUCCUUUGCCACAAGCUCAUUUGAAGAUAAUAAAUGGUACUUUGAAUCAUAUCGUACUAAUUGGAACUGUCUUAUCUACAAGAACCUAUUCAUGGAAAUGGAGCAUGUUCCUGCUAUCUGAGUUCAGUUUGAUAUCAAAAUACAUCAUCUCCAGUGACGUUAAGUUAAAAUGAUAAAAUAUUGUUUGGAUUAGUUGUCAGGGAGGUCAAUUGUAAACCAAAACAUUUCAUAUCCCGUGUCCCAAGCCAUGGUGAUACCGUUCCCAGCAUCGUCGACAGGUGUGUAGUCAAAAUGUCAGGAAGAGGAAAGGUGUUUCAUCGCAAUGGUGGAGUCCCGGAAUACAACAUCGCCCUGGUGGGUUCUCUAGGGGUGGGGAAGUCAGCUCUCACCGUCAAGUACAUCACAAAGAGAUUCAUCAUGGAAUACGACCCUGACCUUGAGGGGACGUACACAAAGCAUGAAGACUGGGAUGGACAGGAGCUGCUGGUCAACAUCAUGGACACCUGUGAUAAGGACGACAGCGAGGCAAUGCGCUAUCUGAAGUGGGCAGACGGCUUCCUGGUGGUGUACAGUAUCACCAGCAGGCAGAGUUUCGACAAGGCCCGAGAGUAUCUGGAACUGGUCACUCAGCAUCUGAAGAACACGUCGAGAGAGUGUCCGGUUGCUCUAGUCGGCAACAAGAUUGAUCUGGAGAGAUACAGACAGAUCAGCAAGGCGGAAGGCUCAAGCCUGGCAGCAGAAGUGGACUGUUCGUUCUUCGAGACGACAGCAGCCGAGGAGUUUGAGCACGUGGAGGGCGUGUUUCAGCGCGUGCUGCAGGACAUUCACCAGGAAAAAUAUGGCCACGUGCUGCAGCCACUCGUUAUAUCGGAGGACAAGGCGGCGUUCUUUGCUUCAUCUCGCAGACCAAAGUCGCCCAGGGGGUCAUCUGAUCGCAAGGAGGAAAAGAAUACAGCCAAGAAAACUCCAACAACAUUCAACAAACUGUUUAAGAUAUUUAACUGACGAAGCUUCUUUGUUCGUUUCGAUGAUACCCCAAGGACUAGGUCAUUAGACGCAGCAGCCAGUCUAUGUACAUACAUGCUGUACGUGCCUUCCAGAGAUGUGAAUAGUUCAUCAGUGUUCAAUAUGACGUCACGAGAUUUUGUACACUGUGACGGGUCACGACUGACUGCCUGAAGACUUCGGCGGCUAUACUGACGUUGUCAACGAUGGCUUUGGUCAUGUCUCACCAGUGGUCAGUGAAGUCAUACGGUGAACACACAAUGGGUGUGAAUAGUCUUAUCGAUAACAUGUGCUGUUGAUCCUGUUUGCUCAUGCAUAUUGGGAAAGGGUGGAUGCACCAUGUUUCUCCCAAGUGUGAAAUGUUCUGUGAAAUCAUAUCCUAGCAAUCUUUUCGAGGCCUGAUAAUGUGUCAUGUGAAAAUGUGUCAUGACACAUAGGUGUCUAAAUUUGUUGAAUUACACUCAUGCUCAUCGAGGAUUAACCGAGCUAAUUGAUAAAUCAUGUCUACACGAUCUUAGCGAAUCUUAUAACAGUCCGUCUCCGACGUGAAGAUGUGUAAAAUGAAGUUACUGUAGUGUUAUAUUUUCCUUCAGAUAUAUUAGAGGGAACUAGGAAAUCUUGACUUGCCAAAUCUUCUUCACUUGCUAUUUCCGUAUCAUGGUAUGACAGACAUGGAUGAGACCAGCGUUAGUAGUAGCACCAAGUUUGCUUUGUAGACGGGUACUGGGUAACGUAGCAUAAAUCGGCAUCGCAAGCUUGCCUUGUCAUUGUGUUCACUACUCAAUAACAAGACCCAGGGACCCGUUCUACAAAACUCCUAUGCUUUAACACUGGCUUAACAUUGUCGUAGCUACGCUAGCUUUGUGGAACGGGGCCUAAGUUCUUGUCUGCACGUGACAAUUCCUUCAUGGGAACUACCAUACUACACGUCAAAUUUAACACGUGUGCAUGACGGUGGUAACCUUGGUCCCGUUCCUCAAAGCGAUCUUAACGUUAGGGUGAUCGUAACUCCCACCCAUUAACGUGGACUUACGGUGAUGGUAGAACUAAAAUCUCUUUGGGGAACCCGUCAUGAACCAGUUGCCCAAAGCAUUCACUGCAGUUAAAGCUCGACUUAUAGGGGAUAGUGUAAUUCAAAAACUGCUUCGCUCUGCUCAUGUGUUUUUUCAUUUGGAAGUGUUUUAUUCAGUCAGAAACCCAAGAUAUCUAAUGCCACAUACUUUCUGUUGCAAGGGAGUACCAAUAUAUUACACAAUGUCAGAACGGUAGCACGCUACACGAAAGAGGAUAACUCAUUACGGUGCCUAAAUCAUUACCACACGUUGGACUUAUUUACGAACUAACUGAGUUAAAAAAAACAAAAAAUACUGAUUGACUUCCUCAUUUGACUACUUGAUGGGUGGUGGUUACAGCGUCCGCUCGUCACGCCAAAGACCCGGGUUCGAUUCCCCACAUGGGUACAAUUUGUGAAACUCAUUUUUGGCGUCACCCGCCGUGAUAUUGCGGGAAUAUUGAUAAAGGCGGCGUCAAACAAUACUCAAUGACUACUAGAUACAUUAGACGAUAAUAAUAUACACGUUUACAUGGAGACGAUAUUACAUGAAUCAUAUUUCAUUGUAAAAAUGUGUCAUAGAGAUUAUGUUAUAUUAUAUAAUUCAUUAUGUUCAUAUGUUAUAAAGUUGUGCAUGUGUCGUCCAUGUGGAUAUAUCUCCCUCAGUCAUGCAAGUGUUGACUGCCUACAUGUACUGGGUGACUGUCUCAUUCUGAUCAUACUCCCGUCUGUAGUCAUACGCCAAGAAACGUUUUAUAGUGUAGAACAAAUAAUGUUUCAUCUACAUCGUCACCAUCGACUUUGUGCUGUUCUCUUACAGAAACAACCAAGUGAAUUAUCCUUAUCGUUAUAUGUUAACGCCCUAAUUAAUCGAUCGAUGUAGUACCACAUACGCUUUUAUGAGCUUUAAGCCUUCGGUGCAGCUGUAGGGGAUGAUUCGUGUAGUCAUUAAUUAUGUGUGUGUUUAUUGAUCAGGUGCGCAGUCAGGAAUAUUCUAGAUAUUUCACAACGACCUGUAUAAACUGUGGGUCAGACGAACGAGUGAGCGAAGUAAUGAACAACGUCCUACUUGGGGCAUGCUGACAUUAAAAAUACCAAGUCAGCCUGACCCAAUGAAUUACCGCCUGAAACGACAACUAGAGGUUUCUGGUGACCUGAGGGGCGGUGGGGUAGCCUAGUGGUUAAAGCGUCCGCUCGUCACGCUGAAGACCCGGGUUCGACUCCCCACAUGGGUACAAUGUGUGAAGCCCAUAGUGGUCUCCCCCGCAUUGAUAUUGCUGGAAUAUUGCUAAAAGCGGUGUGAAACCAUACCAAUCAGUCACUCUGGUUACCUGUCCUAACCCCGGUAUAACGGCGGUGAACCGCUCAGUCAGUCUG
rnacentral:misc_RNA from 1 species